UACGUAGGGGGCAAGCGUUGUCCGGAAUUAUUGGGCGUAAAGAGCGUGUAGGCGGCCAGAUAAGUCCGCUGUGAAAUCUCGAGGCUCAACUUCGAGCUGUCGGUGGAAACUAUCUGGCUAGAGUCCGGAAGAGGAGAAUGGAAUUCCUGGUGUAGCGGUGAAAUGCGCAGAUAUCAGGAAGAACACCCGUGGCGAAGGCGGUUCUCUGGGACGGUACUGACGCCGAGACGCGAAAGCGUGGGGAGCAAACAGG
rnacentral:rRNA from 1 species